rnacentral:misc_RNA from 1 species
GAUGAAGAACGUAGCGAAAUGCGAAAAGUAAUGUGAAUUGCAGAAUUCAGUGAACCAUCGAAUCUUUGAACGCACAUUGCGCCCGCUGGAACUCCGGCGGGCACGCCUGUCCGAGCGUCAUUUCAACCCUCAGGCCCCCCUUCGCGGGCGGGCCUGGUGUUGGGCCCCGGCCGCUACCCUGCGGCCGUCCCCUAAAUCCAGUGGCGGCCUCGCCGUGAUCCCUUGCGUAGUAAUGCACCUCGCACCGGAGAGCGCCGUGGCCACGCCGUAAAACCCCCACUUUUCAAUGGUUGACCUCGGAUCAGGUGGGAAUACCCGCUGAACUUAAGCAUAUCAAUAAGCGGAGGA